CACGUAGGGCGCAAGCGUUGUCCGGAAUUAUUGGGCGUAAAGAGCUCGUAGGUGGUCCGCUGCGUCCGCUGUGAAAUCCCAGGGCUUAACCCUGGGCUUGCAGUGGAUACGGGCAGACUAGAGGUAGGUAGGGGAGAAUGGAAUUCCCGGUGUAGCGGUGAAAUGCGCAGAUAUCGGGAGGAACACCGGUGGCGAAGGCGGUUCUCUGGGCCUUACCUGACACUGAGGAGCGAAAGCGUGGGGAGCAAACAGG
rnacentral:rRNA from 1 species